GAUGAACGCUGGCGGCGUGCCUAAUACAUGCAAGUCGAGCGAAUGGAUUAAGAGCUUGCUCUUAUGAAGUUAGCGGCGGACGGGUGAGUAACACGUGGGUAACCUGCCCAUAAGACUGGGAUAACUCCGGGAAACCGGGGCUAAUACCGGAUAAUACUUUGAACUGCAUGGUUCAAAAUUGAAAGGCGGCUUCGGCUGUCACUUAUGGAUGGACCUGCGUCCCAUUAGCUAGUUGGUGAGGUAACGGCUCACCAAGGCAACGAUGCGUAGCCGACCUGAGAGGGUGAUCGGCCACACUGGGACUGCGACACGGCCCAGACUCCUACGGGAGGCAGCAGUAGGGAAUCUUCCGCAAUGGACGAAAGUCUGACGGAGCAACGCCGCGUGAGUGAUGAAGGCUUUCGGGUCGUAAAACUCUGUUGUUAGGGAAGAACAAGCGCUAGUUGAAUAAGCUGGCACCUUGACGGUACCUAACCAGAAAGCCACGGCUAACUACGUGCCAGCCGCCGCGGUAA
rnacentral:rRNA from 1 species